GCGGGUAUAGCUCAGUUGGCAGAGCAUCGGUAUGCCACACCGUAUGUCGUCGGUUCAAGUCCGACUGCCCGCU
rnacentral:tRNA from 1 species